UACGUAGGGUGCAAGCGUUGUCCGGAAUCAUUGGGCGUAAAGAGCGCGUAGGCGGCUAGAUAAGUCCGGUGUGAAAGUCACAGGCUCAACCUGUGAAUGCCGCUGGAAACUGUCUGGCUAGAGUCCGGAAGGGGCGAGUGGAAUUCCUGGUGUAGCGGUGAAAUGCGCAGAUAUCAGGAGGAACACCAAUGGCGAAGGCAGCUCGCUGGGACGGUACUGACGCUGAGGCGCGAAAGCGUGGGGAGCAAACAGG
rnacentral:rRNA from 1 species